rnacentral:rRNA from 1 species
CAGCAGCCGCGGGAAAACGGAGGGAGCUAGCGUUGUUCGGAAUUACUGGGCGUAAAGCGCGCGUAGGCGGUUACUCAAGUCAGAGGUGAAAGCCCGGGGCUCAACCCCGGAACUGCCUUUGAAACUAGGUGACUAGAAUCUUGGAGAGGUCAGUGGAAUUCCGAGUGUAGAGGUGAAAUUCGUAGAUAUUCGGAAGAACACCAGUGGCGAAGGCGACUGACUGGACAAGUAUUGACGCUGAGGUGCGAAAGCGUGGGGAGCAAACAGGAUUAGAUACCCGGGUAGUCCCUGUCUCUUAUAC